rnacentral:rRNA from 1 species
UACGAAGGGGGCUAGCGUUGCUCGGAAUCACUGGGCGUAAAGGGUGCGUAGGCGGGUCUUUAAGUCAGGGGUGAAAUCCUGGAGCUCAACUCCAGAACUGCCUUCGAUACUGAAGAGCUCGAGUCCGGGAGAGGUGAGUGGAACUGCGAGUGUAGAGGUGAAAUUCGUAGAAUAUUCGCAAGAACACCAGUGGCGAAGGCGGCUCACUGGCCCGGUACUGACGCUGAGGUGCGAAAGCGUGGGGAGCAAACAGG